ensembl:lncRNA
AAUUCUGCCAUGAAUGCAGGGGACUGGACUAGAUGACCUCUCGAGGUCCCUUCCAGUCCUAUGAUUCUAGGAUAUUGGAUCCCGAGCACUAUGAAGAGUGCAAGUCCCAUGGGCAGGCAUCUCACAAACUGUCCCACACCAUUUCUGCUGUAUGCAAUAUCCAGCACACCUUGGAAGGGGGAGGAGCAGAAUUUGCUCCACAUGAGUAAUUUACUCUUUACAGUUCAAACCUAGCUCUCAGUAGUCAGCGUUGGUAAUGUUAAUAAUCCAGAAUGAAAAGGAUAUUUCCAAAAGCCCAAUAUACACUUGUAGUUUGCACCUAUCGGUUAGUGUUUUCCUCAGAGGAAUGCAUACAAGGCAGAUCGGGCAGAAAUACCAGCCACAUCUGCGGCAUUUCCACUCAUCCCAUCUGCUUUUUAUUUCAUCAGCUGGGAAAGCACAGCUCUAGUCAUCUCACAAGACCAUUUUAUAGGGAUUAGUGUGGAUAAUUUAGAACUGAUAAGAGGAAAAACUGUAUCCUGCUUGGGCAGAUGUUUUUAAAAUGUAUUUCUACUGGGUUUGAUUACAGUUUAAGGACUUGUUUAUCGUUGUUGCCAAGACACUGUAAUAGAUACAAGCUGCAUUUAAGCAUCCUCAUACCUAUUUUGCCUAAACCAUUUUUCAGACGACAAUAUUAAUAAACAUUAACCAAAAUCUGGAUCUCUGUAAUGUGACAUGGGUCUAAUUUCUUGCACUUCCACUUCAGGCCAAUGUCAGUAUCACUAGCAGAUUGAGGAGGGAACCUAGGAGGGAGGGUCUAUUAGGAGAUAGGCAGAGUUCAGUGACAUGUCUGUUAUUUUUCUGUUUUACAUGGUGAUGGCUCAAGCAUAUAAGGUAAAGAAGUUCAACAACCCAAAGACUCUCUGCCCCCACCAUGCAACUGGAAAGAAACACACUGAGGAGAGAAGGCCUAGAAUUGAGACUGAUGUCCCGCAUUAAUGGACAUUGUCCAUGGAGGCCACCUUCACCACCUGAGAGCAGGAGGAAAUACUACUGAGUUUCUCAGAGCAGGAGGGACACUGAUCAGCCUGAUGAAAAUACUAGGAAGGAGUGAAGAAGUAUGUGGAAAUUAUGGCUUCACAUUUGCUAAAGCUGUUGCAGGUCAAUGCUUUGUCCUGGGAGAAAGAAGGGCAGAUAGAGAAGAACAAAGCAUCAGAACUUCCAGAGUCAGGUACUGUCUCUUUAAUUCUGAUAAAGUGGAGUCCCCCAAGGAUGAGUCCAAGAGGGCCCUAAAUGGCAAAAUGCUUCUGGCUUAUAGAUCAGUUAAGUGGCAAAGAUGGAAAGUAUGAAAAGAAGAAGAUUGCUGUGGAGGUGGAAACAAUAAGACCAUUAUGGCCUUUCAGAAAUACAAACAGAAAGUACGUAGCCACUAGUGGAACCAUGUACAACAUAAUUUGUUUAUAUAAAGUGUCCUUCAUCCUCUUCAGCACUACAUGAACCUCCAGAUGCAGCAAAUCCUGGAAUCAAUCUCUCUCUCACACACACACACACACACACACACACACACACACACACACACACACACACAACAAUA